rnacentral:rRNA from 1 species
CCUCUAGAACGGCCCCGAUGCAUGGCCAACACAUGCCCCCAUUUCCCGAGGAACGCCUCGAAAUCACCCCGGUGCACGCCCUAGGCAUGCCCCCGAGUCCUGAGGAACAUCCUCAAAAUCUAUACCCAGUCGUUGGGGCAAGUGCGAGGCCCCAAUGAGCAGGAAGGCGCAAUAGUCGCUGCAAAACCGAUGGCGCAAGCCAGGGCGGAGCAGCCGCCGGUGCAGAUCUAGUGGUAGUAGCAAAUACUCAAAUGAGAGCUUUGAAGGCCGAAGAGGGGAAAGGUUCUAUGUGAACGGCACUUACACCUGGGUUAGUCGAUCCUAAGAGGUGGGACAAGCCCAUCCGACAGCGCGUUUCGCGCAAACUUCGAAAGGGAAUUAGGUUAAAAUUCCCGAACCCGGACGCGGCGGUUGACAGCAACGUUAGGGAGUCCGGAUACGCCAGUAAGGGCCUCGGAAAGAGUUAUCUUCUCCAUUUAACAGCCUACCCACCCUGGAAAUGACUCAAUCAGAGGUGGGGUCCAACGACUGGAAGAGCCCCGCACUUUGCAAGGUGCCCAGUACGCCCUCAACAACCCAUGAAAAUGCGGAGGACCAAGUGUCGACCAUGCCCAGUCGUACUCGUAAUCGCAUCAGAUCUCUAAGGGGAACAACCUCUGGUCGAUGGAACAAUGUAGGCAAGAGAAGUCGGCAAAAUGGAUUCGUAACUUCAGGAAAAGGAUUGGCUCUGACGGUUAGGCACAGGGGUCCGAUUCCCGAACCCGUCGGUUGUCGGCGGACCGCUCGCGCUAUUUGCGUGUCGAGAACGGGUUGCCGUGUGCCGGUCGGGGGACGGACUGGGAACUGCCCCUUCCGGGGCCUUCCCCGGGCGUCGAACAGUCAACUCAAGACUGGUACACACAAUGGUAAUCCGACUAUUUAAUUAAAACAACGUAUUGCGAUGGUCCCUGCGGAUGUUAAUGCAAUGUGAUUUCUGCCCAGUGCUCUGCACGUCAAAGUGAAGAAAUUCAACCAAGCACGGGUAAAUGGCGAGAGUAACUAUGACUCUCUUAAGCUAACCAAAUGCCUCAUCAUCUACUUAGUGACGCGCGUGAAUGGAUUAACGAGAUUUCCACUGUCCCUGUCUACUAUACAGCAAAACCACAACUAAGGGAAUGGGCUUGGGAGAAUCAACGGGGAAAGAAGACCCCAUUGAGCUUAACUCUAGUCCGACUUUGUGAAAUGACUUGAAAGGUGUAGCAUAAGCGGGAGCUUCGGCGCAAGUGAAAUACCACUACUUUUAACGUUAUGUUACUUACUCCGUAAGUCAAAGGCGGGCAUCGCCCCUCUUUUUGGACCUGAGGCUCGCUUCACGAGCAAAUCCGGGUAGAGGACAAUAUCAGGUGGGGAGUUUGGCUGGGAGCGGCACUUCUGUUCAAACAUAACGUAGAUGUCCUAAGUUGAGCUUAAUGAGAACAUAAAUCUCAUGUGGAACAGAAGGGUAAAAGCUCGUUUGAUUCUGAUUUGUAGUACGAAUAUGAACCAUGAAAGCGUAGCCUAACGAUCCUUUAGACCUUCGAAAUUUGAAGCUAGAGGUGUCAGAAAAGUUACCACAGGGAUAACUAGCUUGGAGCAGCCAAGCGUUCAUAGCGACAUUGCUUUUUUAUCCUUCGAUGUCGGCUCUUCCUAUCAUUGUGAAGCAGAGUUCAUCAAGUGUUGGAUUGUUCACCCACCAAUCAGGAACGUGAGCUGGGCUUAGACCGUCGUGAGAGAGGUUAGUUUUGCCCUACUAAUGACAGUGUCGUGAUGGUAAUUCAAUCUAGUACGAGAGGAACCAUUGAUUCCCAUAAUUGGUCAUUGCGCUUGGUUAAAAGCCAGUGGCGCAAAGCUAACGCGCGCUGGAAUGCCCCCAAAACGGCUCUGGUACAUGGCCAAGGCAUGCC